GAUGAACGCUAGCGAUAGGCUUAACACAUGCAAGUCGAGGGGCAGCAUGGUCUUAGCUUGCUAAGACUGAUGGCGACCGGCGCACGGGUGCGUAACGCGUAUGCAACUUGCCUCACAGAGGGGGAUAACCCGUCGAAAGACGGACUAAUACCGCGUACACUCCAUCUUGGGCAUCCAAGGUAGAGGAAAUGAAAUUCGCUGUGAGAUAGGCAUGCGUCCCAUUAGCUAGUUGGUGAGGUAACGGCUCACCAAGGCGACGAUGGGUAGGGGAACUGAGAGGUUGAACCCCCACACUGGUACUGAUACACGGACCAGACUACUACGGGAGGCAGCAGUGAGGAAUAUUGGUCAAUGGGCGAGAGCCUGAACCAGCCAAGUCGCGUGAGGGAUGACUGUCUUAUGGAUUGUAAACUUCUUUUAUACGGGAAUAACAAGAGUCACGUGUGACUCCCUGCAUGUACCGUAUGAAUAAGCAUCGGCUAACUCCGU
rnacentral:rRNA from 1 species